rnacentral:rRNA from 1 species
GAUGAACGCUGGCGGCGUGCCUAAUACAUGCAAGUCGAGCGAACGGACGAGAAGCUUGCUUCUCUGAUGUUAGCGGCGGACGGGUGAGUAACACGUGGAUAACCUACCUAUAAGACUGGGAUAACUUCGGGAAACCGGAGCUAAUACCGGAUGAUAUUUUGAACCGCAUGGUUCAAAAGUGAAAGACGGUCUUGCUGUCACUUAUAGAUGGAUCCGCGCUGCAUUAGCUAGUUGGUAAGGUAACGGCUUACCAAGGCAACGAUGCAUAGCCGACCUGAGAGGGUGAUCGGCCACACUGGAACUGAGCCACGGUCCAGACUCCUACGGGAGGCAGCAGUAGGGAAUCUUCCGCAAUGGGCGAAGUCCUGACGGAGCAACGCCGCGUGAGUGAUGAAGGUCUUCGGAUCGUAAAACUCUGUUAUUAGGGAAGAACAUAUGUGUAAGUAACUGUGCACAUCUUGACGGUACCUAAUCAGAAAGCCACGGCUAACUACGUG